rnacentral:rRNA from 1 species
UACAGAGGUCUCAAGCGUUGUUCGGAUUCAUUGGGCGUAAAGGGUGCGUAGGUGGCGCCUAAGUCAGGUGUGAAAUCUCGGGGCUCAACCUCGAAACUGCACUUGAUACUGUGGUGCUUGAGUACUGGAGAGGAGAUUGGAAUUUUACGGUGUAGCAGUGAAAAUGCGUAGAUAUCGUAGGGAAGACCAGUGGCGAAAGGCGAAUCUCU